AAAAAAACAAAGGAAAAAAAAAACCAGAAAAUGAAAACAGAAAGGGAAGGAAAAGAAAAAGAAAAGAAGCUUCGGACUCCUCACAUACAUGCAGGAUCUGAGAAAUCUCCUGCAAUUCCACCCAACUACAUCUAUCUUUCAAAACCCUCGAAAAAAAGCUAUCAGAAAUCUCCAUUCUUGGUUAAUUCGAGCUCGACUUCAGCAGCCGAUCGCUGUCAGUCUUCAUCAGAACCGGAAUCUGAAGGGGGUUCUUGCUCGGGAGACUGGUUUGGAGCCAAAGGAACAAAAGCUUUUGUUCAGGGGCAAAGAGAAAGAUGAUGAUGAGUUUUUGCACAUGGUAAGUGUGAAGGACAUGUCAAAGGUGGUCCUCAUGGAGGAUGCAGCCAGCAAGGAGAGGAAGCUUAAGGAGAUGAAGAGAGAUCAAGUGAUCUCUGGAGCUCUUAAUUCAGUUGCCCUAGUCAAAGCAGAGGUUGAUAAGCUCUCACAAAAGGUGUCUUCUUUGGAGGUAAUCAUGCAUGGUGGGACCAAGGUUGCUGAAAAGGAGUUUGUGGUGUUGACUGAAUUAUUCAUGGUGCAAUUGUUGAAUUUGGAUAGCAUUGACGCUGAAGGAGAAGCAAAAGUACAGAGACGGAGUGAGAUUUAUUCAAAGUCGUUGAUCAAAGAGCAAAGCUAGUUAUGAGUGAGUUGUCAGAUGAGCAGUCCAUACAGCCACCAGCUUCCAAUGGUAAAGAAACUCAAGCCAAGAGGGAGAAAUCGAAGGAGAAGGGUCAGUUGACACUCUCCACUGCUGAACCUCCUAAUCCUACAACAAGUGAUCCUGAACAUGAACAGAGAGCAGACUAGCAUACAAGCAUCUGCAUCAAGUGUAACAUUUGAUAAAGAUGAAGAUGCCCCAUCUGAAAAUGCUGCUGCUGUGUCCAGUAAUUUUACAGACCAGAAAAGUACAGAUGUUUUUGGCAAGUUGUGAAAAUUGAAGCCAUUGCAAAGAGAAGGAACUGCCAUUAUCAGUCAUCAGAUUUGACGCCACUCGUGCAGGAUUUUAAUCAAUUGUGCCUAAAUUUAGGCCUACAAGCACUUCAGCCCUUUAACACCACUCGUGCUAGGAGUAGACCAUAUAGAGGAUUUGUUAUUUAUUUAUUUAUAUUCAAGACCAUUUUCAAUUUAUUGUAAUAAAUAUUAUAUGUUUUUUAUUGUGUAGUAAUAUAAAUUUUGUUUAAUAUUAGUUUUAAUUGUAUUGCAUCA